rnacentral:lncRNA from 1 species
AGCUGCUUCUUUUGGUGCCCCUCUGUUAGGAACUCCAUCCCUGCUGUAUUGCAGCAACCAUUGAAGGACUCGCUGUUUCACCUCUACUGCUAAAUCGGGCCUCUUUCUGUUAGACAUUUUGCUGCAUUUGAAUGACUGUAAACCUUUUGGUUUUUGAUUUGUAAUCUAAAAUUAGGAGGCUUCGGUCCUUUAUAAUGUGAU